AUGUAGGCCACGAGAGGAAGAAGGGGAAAGAGCUCAGUGUAAUCUGCAAGGAGGAGGAAGCUACAGGUCUAAAGAAAGGACAUAAGAAAUAAUGCUGUCUGCAGACACGGCCGUUCCAUAAGGACAGGCAGCUUUCCUUGAGGGCUGUUUGUUACACAGGGAAGGCUAUUUGAAAAAGACAUCUCGCCAAAAUGCAAACAAAACCUCCACAAACGCAGCAAAUUAAAGGAGCAAAAUGGAACAACUUUUUUUUUUUUUCUUCAUCUCAAUAUGGCAGCUCAGUGGUUGCUGGUUGAGAUACUAUGGAAUGUUUCUAGUUGAGCUAAACUACAUGCUGGCAAAAUAACAUCGGAGUCAGGAGUGGAGUCUGGCUGGUAGUUAAAAUUCUGGUUCAACUGAUGUCUAAGUUGAAACAAUAUUUUCAUAAGUGGGACAACCCAAGAUAUACUGUUCUCUUCUUGGGAGUGGCCUCAAAUCUGAAUUGGACUUACUAUUCUGGACUUUUGUAUUCUCUAUACCUCUUAUAAUCUAUAACCUAAUUUUGUAACCAAAUGUACAAUUAGUCCUAACAACUUAUUUAAUGAUUCAAUCUAAAGAAAAGAUGAAUACAUAGUCAAAGUCAACAAAGCCAGUAUUAAAAACAAAAAGUACCAAAUAAAGCCCCUGAAAACA